CAGCCGCCGCGGUAAUACGAAGGGGGCUAGCGUUGUUCGGAUUUACUGGGCGUAAAGCGCACGUAGGCGGAUCGAUCAGUCAGGGGUGAAAUCCCAGAGCUCAACUCUGGAACUGCCUUUGAUACUGUCGAUCUGGAGUAUGGAAGAGGUGAGUGGAAUUCCGAGUGUAGAGGUGAAAUUCGUAGAUAUUCGGAGGAACACCAGUGGCGAAGGCGGCUCACUGGUCCAUUACUGACGCUGAGGUGCGAAAGUGUGGGGAGCAAACAGGAUUAGAUACCCGCGUAGUCCCUGUCUCUUAUAC
rnacentral:rRNA from 1 species